ensembl:lncRNA
CCCCUCCAGCCGCGGCCCUCCUUCCCUAGCUCUCCACAGGUCGCCCCCGGGUCCCCCGCCCGGAGCUGGAGACGCCUGCUCACCCGAGUCCCUCAGUCCUGAGGGUUUGGAUCCAGUGCGGCCGGCGGCCCCGAAGACGCUGGGCCCCAGGAGCGCGGCGGCGGGGGCGUGGCCCUCCCGCGGCGGCUAGGGCCGGGGUCUCGCCUCCGCCUCCCUAAGAGGAAGGCUGGCGCCGCCGCCUCCCCUUCCUUCCGGUUUCCCCUCGCGCCCUCCUUCGGCCGCUCAGUCCCGAGCGGAAAACUGCGUCCUCUUCGGGCGCCGCCGCACGCUCCUCUGGGCCCGACCACCGCCAGACUCCUCCCCCGGGAGCCGCGCCGCCCGCCCUCACCGCCUCGUCAGCCCCGGGGCCGCGAGACGCCUGGCUUGCCGCUCCCACCCCGCCCCUGCGGCGCGCUCUCGCCCUCUUGGCGGGCCCCUUUCGAGACCCGGGGACGCGCGGACAGCGGACCGUGGGCCAGCCUUCUCCAGGUUUCAGAAAUGGAAGUCUGUAUUUUCCACGUUCUACGGUGCUCAGUGAGGAUCCUGCCUUCCUGUUCCUCAGUACUCAUUGCCCACUAUCCUUAAUUGAAGACCCACAGUCCCUAUGUCUUAUAAUGUGGGACAAUUCCAACAAUAUGGUGGCUAUGGGGAAGAAAUGAAAAUGAAACACACGCAUACUGAACCUCAACAGGCUGAAAACAUGAAUAAGAAAACAAGAUGUGCACUCAGAAGGCAAAAUCCAUGACAUAGGAAGGGUGACUAAUAUCCCUAAUAGGGACAUUGUAACUGACAACAUUCAUCAAGAAACAUAUGAGGCUUUGAUUUUUGUUGCCCAGAAGAGGGAGCUAAAUGGCAAGAGCCCUUCUAAUUACACUGUAUAGAAACGCACCUCAAGGAAGCUAUGCAUCCAAGAAAGAGCCAAGGAGGCUAGAAUAGGGCAAAGGAUCCUCUAUAAUAAAAUUCUGG